AUUGAACGCUGGCGGCAUGCUUUACACAUGCAAGUCGAACGGCAGCGCGGGCUUCGGCUUGGCGGCGAGUGGCGAACGGGUGAGUAAUGCAUCGGAACGUGCCCAGUUGUGGGGGAUAGCCCGGCGAAAGCCGGAUUAAUACCGCAUACGACCUGAGGGUGUAAGCGGGGGACCGAAAGGCCUUCCGCUCUUGGACCGGCCGAUGUCGGAUUAGCUAGUUGGUGGGGUAAAGGCUUACCAAGGCGACGAUCCGUAGCUGGUCUGAGAGGAUGACCAGCCACACUGGGACUGAGACACGGCCCAGACUCCUACGGGAGGCAGCAGUGGGGAAUUUUGGACAAUGGGGGCAAGCCUGAUCCAGCCAUGCCGCGUGCGGGAAGAAGGCCUUCGGGUUGUAAACCGCUUUUGUUCGGGAAGAAAUCCUCUGGGCUAAUACCCCGCGGGGAUGACGGUACCGGAAGAAUAAGCACCGGCUAACUACGUG
rnacentral:rRNA from 1 species